AGGCGCACGCGCGACUUCCGCCGUUCCGACUCCCGGGGUACGGAGUGCGGAGCGUGCGGACCCGACGGUCUCGGUAUGGAGUUCAGACUGUCCUGGACCUCACUAUGGAGUCCAGGCUGGCGUUGAACUUACAACGAUCCUCCUGUGUCAGCCUCUGCAGUGUUGGGAUUAGAGGUGUGUGCUACCAUGCCCGGCUAAGUACUGGAGAUCGAACUCAGGACCUUGCGCUUGCCUGCCAGGCCCAGUGCCCCUGAGCUACAUCCUAGACCUUGCUUGUUUAUUUUUAAAAGGGAAAUCCUAAACAGGGAACACAGACCUUCCAUCAGGCCACUCCAGAGGCACGGGCGGAGGAAUGGCAACAGCUUGUAAGAGGGGCCACUCUUGGUAAGCGGGCUCCUUCCCAGAAUGUGCUUUCCUGCAACCCAGAGGGCCUGUGCAGAACUGACCUUCAGGGCCCCAAACUGGAGACAUGCUGAUGUGCCUUCUGCUUUGUUGACUUGAUUAGGCUGGGAUCUGAGGUGCUAAUCAGUAUGUUUUCUCCUGUUCCUAAGUAGCUCUUAUGAUAUUGGACUUUUUUUUUUUGGUACUGGGGAUUGAACUCGGGUCCUUGAGCUUUUGAGGCAGGCGGCAG
ensembl:lncRNA